AUGAAGAUAAGUCUUACAAACGGGAUUUAUAAUGUAUACGAAUUUAAAGAAGCCCAUAACCAUAGUCUUGCUACUGGAAACAUGCCGCAAUACUUAAGAUCACACAGAAACAGGGCCACGAAGGUGACCGCCGAGGAGGGAGGGCCCGCAGCUCGCCCACGAGCGCCUCGCCGGGCGACGGAAGCUGCGGCCUCAGGGACGGCGCGCAGCUCGCCUACGAGCGCCGCACUGGGCGAGGGACGCCAUGGCCGCAGGGAUGGUGAGCAGUUUGCUGACGAGCGCCGCGCGCGGAGGACCACGGAGAUGACGCGCUCCCCGAGGAAGACAACCAGCCGGAUGAGCCAGCUUGCAGCGAUGUCCAGGACCCUCCUGCUCGGACAUGCUAGCAAAUCGAGGUCACGGCGCUCGCCGUCGAGAUGUCUCCCGGCCGUGGAGAAGCUACUGCUUUGGCUGUGGGGAAAGUAA
rnacentral:rRNA from 1 species